UACGGAAGGGGCGAGCGUUGUUCGGAAUCAUUGGGCGUAAAGGGCGCGUAGGUGGUCCUGUAUGUCUACCGUGAAAGCGUACGGCUCAACCGUAUUUUGUCGGUAGAAACUGCAGGACUUGAGGCUGGGAGGGGCUGGUGGAAUUCCCUGUGUAGCGGUGAAAUGCGUAGAGAUGGGGAAGAACACUCGUGGCGAAGGCGGCCAGCUAGACCAGUUCUGACACUGAGGCGCGACAGCGUGGGGAGCAAACAGG
rnacentral:rRNA from 1 species